rnacentral:rRNA from 1 species
UACGUAGGGUGCGAGCGUUGUCCGGAUUUAUUGGGCGUAAAGAGCUCGUAGGCGGUUUGUCGCGUCGGCCGUGAAAUCUCCACGCUUAACGUGGAGCGUGCGGUCGAUACGGGCAGACUUGAGUUCGGUAGGGGAGACUGGAAUUCCUGGUGUAGCGGUGAAAUGCGCAGAUAUCAGGUGGAACACCCGUAGCGAAGGCGGCACUCUGGGCCGGAACUGACGCUGAGGAGCGAAAGCGUGGGGAGCGAACAGG